rnacentral:rRNA from 1 species
CGGUAAGAGGUGCUUGCACCUCUUGAGAGCGGCGGACGGGUGAGUAAUGCCUAGGAAUCUGCCUGGUAGUGGGGGAUAACGCUCGGAAACGGGCGCUAAUACCGCAUACGUCCUACGGGAGAAAGCAGGGGACCUUCGGGCCUUGCGCUAUCAGAUGAGCCUAGGUCGGAUUAGCUAGUUGGUGAGGUAAUGGCUCACCAAGGCGACGAUCCGUAACUGGUCUGAGAGGAUGAUCAGUCACACUGGAACUGAGACACGGUCCAGACUCCUACGGGAGGCAGCAGUGGGAAUAUUGGACAUGGGCAAAGCCUGAUCCAGCCAUGCCGCGUGUGUGAAGAAGGUCUUCGGAUUGUAAAGCACUUUAAGUUGGGAGGAGGGGCAAUUACCUAAUACGUAGUUGUUUUGACGUUACCGACAGAGUAAGCACCGGCUAACUCUGUGCCAGCAGCCGCGGUAAUACAGAGGGUGCAAGCGUUAAUCGGAAUUACUGGGCGUAAAGCGCGCGUAGGUGGUUUGUUAAGUUGGAUGUGAAAUCCCCGGGCUUAACCUGGGAACUGCAUUCAAAACUGACAAGC